GAACAAUAUAUUUAGAAAUUGUGUGUGUGUGUGUGUGUGUGUGUGUGUGUGUGUGUGUGUGUGUGUGUGUGUGUGUGUGUGUGUGUGUGUGUGUGUGUGUGUGUGUGUGUGUGUGUGUGUAGAUUUUGCUUUCACCACUACUACCACUAAAGCAGUUCAUGAACCUUUUAUGAGGUACAGUCUAUAUUUAUAACCUUCUUCUUCUUCUGCUGUUUUAUAUUCCUGUAUAUUACCUUAAUAUUGAUGAUGUCUUCAUGCUUCUUCCCCGUGUAAACCUCUGCAGGAUGUUUGCGAGGACUGAAUUACGAGGCAGCAGUCCCAGUUGCCAGGCAACGGCCAAGGGGGCAGAUCAGCUGGGACUCCCGCAUCUAGCUGUGAUUGGCUGUGGGAACUCCAGUCUGCGUAUAUAGCGCUCCAAAUAUGGCAUCAAUCACACAGAAGGCACUCACCUCCUAAAUUGUAUCAAAUUACACGGCAGCAGGGCCCCAUCAAAGCCGCGUAUCUAAUACGUCCAGGCUCACAAGUGCCAUUUGUGAUCGUGCCCGUCUAGCAGAGAGGUUAAUGGAUCUGGCUGUGAGCACACACUGUCUCCCAGGCUCUCCAGAGAUCAAAGGCAGAGAGAGCUUUUAUCGAUCAGCUGAUGUCAGCUCAAGAGGUGCUGUAGGAGGGUUGCCACGGCGGCAGCGCGGGGAUGUUGGCGCUUGCGAAAGUCCAUCCUCCCACCUCCCAGAUGACUCGCAGAACGAGGAGCCGGUUCGGAGCUGCACGUUUUUUUGCUUUUUUUUUUACGAUCACGGCAUUCCAGAACGACAAGUGCGACUGGUAAGGCGCCGUUUUUGGGAGAACUGCCAAAGAUAAGACAAGCUCAUCGGUUUUUGGAGGUUGAGAGGACGCUGCUCUGAGGCAACACGCGGCGCCUUGCUGUGAAGGAGUGGGGUUCGAUUGUGCGCGUGAACCAUAAAUCAGGCCUCCAUCCAGCCAAAUCAUGCAAUUCUCCACAGUCCCACCCAGAUCACACUCAUUACACGCAGACACAUCUGUCUGAGCACUAGUAAAGCGGCCACAAGUUGGUUUUGUCACCCAGGGAAUAUUCAGACCAUGACACAGUCACACACAAAUCUGUGUUUACAUGCCCCACAUAUUCACAGCAGAGCACAACAACAGGUUGGAGACUUAGUAACUCAAAGCUCACGCUAUGCUGGAAAAUAUGGGGAGCCACAGAUGUGAGGAAGUGGAAGGCAAAGGAGCAUGUGUGCGAAAGUGAUCGCACGCGUCCUGUGAGGACAUUGCAUAAACGCGGGAGGAGAAAAUCUGGUUGGGUGAGUUAACUGCCAGAUCCGAGCAUCCUACAGGACAAAGAGCUUACCUCAUUGUUAACUGCAGGAAGAGCUGCUCGGGGCAGAAAUGCCACAGGCGCUGCAUGUUUAUUUUCAACCUUAGCGCAAAUACAGCUGCUGUUGUCGACGUCCCGCUAUCAUUUAGUUCUAACUGACUGCAGCAGCUUAGAGCCGAGACAAACUCCAGCUAAGUCUGACUUCACAGAGCAACUGCAUGAUGUGAAUCAUGUGUUUAAACAGUUUUUAGUACUUGUUCUAAAAAUGGCAAUAUUGAGACGAUGACAUAAUCGGUUUCUGUUUCCCGGACAAAGUCUCUGAACUCUGAUCCUAUUAUAACGCUAGUUAUUAAGGACCCUCUGUGGUUCAACACAACAGCAAAUGAAGGUCACAGGAAAUGCAUGAAACAAUUUGUUCUUAUCUUGUCCAAGACCUAAUAUCAGAUUUUUGCUUUUACUUCCUCAUACAGGACAAACUGCCCAACAGCCACAGCUGAUGUCAUUCCAAGGACUCAGCCUUUCACUGGGACUGAUUUCAACACACGUCCUCUGUUGUGUUGACCGAGCCGGUUCUGCAUAAAUAUUAGUUUCUUAAUCGAAUGUAGCAAAAGCGGUAGUGUGUGUAGCAUUUUCUCAACUGAGCCUCCUGAGACUGAAUGCAUAUAUAAAUUGACGCCAGAAAAAAAGUGGCCCCACAGCAGCAAAUGGGCCACAGAAGCUGAGCAGCGGCAGGUGAAAUUCUACCCGGUCAGGUCACAAAGGCAGUGAGAUGGAGACGGUUAGAGCUCAGGGUGUGUCUGUCUUGUCUGUCAGGCUGCUCUUAAACCAAAUGGUCCAGUUUGUCAAACAACCGAAGCCCAAACCUGAGUCACCCAGGCCUGCAGAGACUUGUUGGUUCGAGUUUUAGCUCAGUUUUAUGCAAAAAUGUCCUUAAACAUUCGAACUGAAUGAACGCCAGAUGCUCUGUGAGGAAAGGCAGGUGAAUGCAAGGCAUCUGAGUAGCACACACAACCCACAAAACCACAUAGCACAACAAAGGUUCCAGGCCCUGUGAGCGGCGACAACGUGAUCCAGCGGCUCUGCUGCAUACCUGCACGAUUAGCUGAACUGGAUCCAAGCAGCAGUUCACUCAAACCCCGGGGACUGUUCUAAAGAUACCAGUGGUGUGUGUGUGUGUGUGUGUGUGUGUGUGUGUGUGUGCCCACGUGUGUGUGUGUAACCUACUUCAGAGCACAUCAGGUGCCCAGCAUGCAGCUGCCACUGCAGAGGGGAGGAUCCACACUAUCACACACACAUAGUCUGUCUUCAAGGGCAAGUCUCAAGGACAAUGCUCGGUCUAACCUUCUGCAGAGCAGCAGCCACAGUGGCAGACAUGGACAGAAAACACUAUUAUUUUUUUUUAAUCUGUGUGUUUUUGAUUGUGUGCUAUGUUUUUUGCCGUGUCUACUGCAAGCAUGUGUUGGCUGAUGCUACUCCAUCACUCCAGACUUUUGAUCCAAGAUAUCGACCAUAAAGGAUGUUGUGUUGAAUAAAGACUUCAGGUCUGUAUGAAAACAUGGUAUAAAAAUUUAAUGUUGCUGUUAGCAUGCUUUAGAAAUCAAACCAAAAUUGUGAGAAAAAAGCGAUGAAAUCACAAAGUGACGUGUGAAUUUAAAGUACAGCAGUGCAAUUUGA